rnacentral:rRNA from 1 species
GAUGAACGCUGGCGGCGUGCCUAAUACAUGCAAGUCGAGCGAACAGAUGAGGAGCUUGCUCCUCUGACGUUAGCGGCGGACGGGUGAGUAACACGUGGAUAACCUACCUAUAAGACUGGGAUAACUUCGGGAAACCGGAGCUAAUACCGGAUAAUAUAUUGAACCGCAUGGUUCAAUAGUGAAAGACGGUUUUGCUGUCACUUAUCGAUGGAUCCGCGCCGCAUUAGCUAGUUGGUAAGGUAACGGCUUACCAAGGCAACGAUGCGUAGCCGACUUGAGAGGGUGAUCGGCCACACUGGAACUGAGACACGGUCCAGACUCCUACGGGAGGCAGCAGUAGGGAAUCUUCCGCAAUGGGCGAAAGCCUGACGGAGCAACGCCGCGUGAGUGAUGAAGGUCUUCGGAUCGUAAAACUCUGUUAUUAGGGAAGAACAAAUGUGUAAGUAACUAUGCACGUCUUGACGGUACCUAAUCAGAAAGCCACGGCUAACUACGUG